rnacentral:piRNA from 1 species
CAAACAAGUUUGCAAGUGUGGAACAAG